UAAAAUUUUCUUUUUUAGCGGAAUAAUUUUGAAGUCAUUGUUUCAUCUGUUCAACAGUCCAUUCUGGAAGUUUCCAGGCUUCAUGCUCUGAUAUGGGAG